GCCAAUGUGGUGUAGUGGUUUGAGUGUUAGAUUGUGACUCUGAAGACCAGGUUCAAUUCUCAGCUUGGCCA